rnacentral:rRNA from 1 species
UACGUAGGGUGCGAGCGUUAAUCGGAAUUACUGGGCGUAAAGCGUGCGCAGGCGGUUUUGUAAGCCAGAUGUGAAAUCCCCGGGCUUAACCUGGGAAUGGCAUUUGGGACUGCAAGGCUCGAGUGCGGCAGAGGAGACUGGAAUUCCUGGUGUAGCAGUGAAAUGCGUAGAUAUCAGGAGGAACACCGAUGGCGAAGGCAGGUCUCUGGGCUUACACUGACGCUCAUGCACGAAAGCGUGGGGAGCAAACAGG